rnacentral:rRNA from 1 species
UGGGAUAACCACGAGAAAUCGGGGCUAAUACCGGAUGUGUCAUCGGACCGCAUGGUCCGCUGAUGAAAGGCGCUUCGGCGUCGCCCAUGGAUGGCUUUGCGGUGCAUUAGCUAGUUGGUGGGGUAACGGCCCACCAAGGCGACGAUGCAUAGCCGACCUGAGAGGGUGAUCGGCCACACUGGGACUGAGACACGGCCCAGACUCCUACGGGAGGCAGCAGUAGGGAAUCUUCCACAAUGGACGAAAGUCUGAUGGAGCAACGCCGCGUGAACGAUGAAGGCUUUCGGGUCGUAAAGUUCUGUUGUAAGGGAAGAACAAGUGCCGCAGGCAAUGGCGGCACCUUGACGGUACCUUGCGAGAAAGCCACGGCUAACUACGUGCCAGCAGCCGCGGUAAUACGUAGGUGGCAAGCGUUGUCCGGAAUUAUUGGGCGUAAAGCGCGCGCAGGCGGCCUCUUAAGUCUGAUGUGAAAGCCCCCGGCUCAACCGGGGAGGGCCAUUGGAAACUGGGAGGCUUGAGUAUAGGAGAGAAGAGUGGAAUUCCACGUGUAGCGGUGAAAUGCGUAGAGAUGUGGAGGAACACCAGUGGCGAAGGCGACUCUUUGGCCUAUAACUGACGCUGAGGCGCGAAAGCGUGGGGAGCAAACAGGAUUAGAUACCCUG